rnacentral:rRNA from 1 species
CGGGAGGCAGCAGUAGGGAAUCUUCCGCAAUGGACGAAAGUCUGACGGAGCAACGCCGCGUGAGUGAUGAAGGUUUUCGGAUCGUAAAGCUCUGUUGUUAGGGAAGAACAAGUGCAAGAGUAACUGCUUGCACCUUGACGGUACCUAACCAGAAAGCCACGGCUAACUACGUGCCAGCAGCCGCGGUAAUACGUAGGUGGCAAGCGUUGUCCGGAAUUAUUGGGCGUAAAGGGCUCGCAGGCGGUUUCUUAAGUCUGAUGUGAAAGCCCCCGGCUCAACCGGGGAGGGUCAUUGGAAACUGGGAAACUUGAGUGCAGAAGAGGAGAGUGGAAUUCCACGUGUAGCGGUGAAAUGCGUAGAGAUGUGGAGGAACACCAGUGGCGAAGGCGACUCUCUGGUCUGUAACUGACGCUGAGGAGCGAAAGCGUGGGGAGCGAACAGGAUUAGAUACCCUGGUAGUCCACGCCGUAAACGAUGAGUGCUAAGUGUUAGGGGGUUUCCGCCCCUUAGUGCUGCAGCUAACGCAUUAAGCACUCCGCCUGGGGAGUACGGUCGCAAGACUGAAACUCAAAGGAAUUGACGGGGGCCCGCACAAGCGGUGGAGCAUGUGGUUUAAUUCGAAGCAACGCGAAGAACCUUACCAGGUCUUGACAUCCUCUGACAACCCUAGAGAUA